UUUGCUCGCCAACUAUGCCGCGGGAGCCGGGAGGACACGCCGAAGCGAAUGGGUGAGCGUCGUCCGAUCGACUGAUCGUUCAUCGUGGGCAGCGGCUCUUCAUAGAGGGAAGGCGAGGGGAGAGGGGAUGGGAAGGGGAUGGGAAGGCCCAGAGCGGGAGGCGGAGUGACCAGGCGGAGGCGGCAGAGCAUCAAAGAGGGGGGCCGUCUAGAAGGUGGAACAGGGGAGUCGGUAUAGCUAGACGAAAAGGAGGGGUGGCGGUACCGACCCAUCACGGCGGCGUCAGCACACUUAACGACACCGGCCAGCAUAAACGAGAGGCAACUCGCUGAUUAAGGAGAGGCUCGUCCACGAGGGGCCGGCGACAGAGGUGAUUCACGCGAAGUGAAAGGAUAAUGAGCACCUAAACUCACGGCACCACACUACCGUCUGCAAGUUCUACCAGUAAUACUAAGCAGGUGACUGUCGAACGCGCAACUCGGAUAAAUACUUAGUAAAGAAACAGGUGAGUGUUUUGUUUAAUACGCCCUAGGACAGUGAAAUCUCUCACCACGAUGUAAACUUGCCCUUCGGUAAAACUUCACCAAGGUCCUUAGACUAUCGUCACCUUCCUCGGAAUAGACGGGAUAAUGAUCCUUCCUCGAGUCGUCGUGACUCAACUUAGGUUCGUAACGAGACUCUUUGUGAUAACUACUUACCUACGUAUCCUUACUCCGUCGAUUUGAACUACAUCGGGCAUUUAGGAAUUGAAGGCUCUUAAGUCUUGUACUAUGAAACGUUCGUGAACUUAUACAACACCUCUAUACAGUCUCUUCAUCUAGGUCGUCUGUACAUCACUCCUUCGAACCGAACUAUUCGAAUUAAAGGCUCGACAACUUCUUAUCGUCAUGUUUUCAUGCCGUUUUCAGUAACCUUUCAGAAACGAAACAUCGAUUUCUACUGUUACUAUUGUUCCUACUCUAACGACGGCCCCUGUUAUAAGCGUGUUAUCACUUCAAGAAUAGAGUACCGGUGCAGGUUCUCUUUCUUGUCCGACGUAGAGACAAUAUACUUGAAAGUGUUAUAUUUGGAGAAAGUCUUUUUUAACCCUCGCAAGGACCCCGGUAUGAAUAUGAACAACCGAACAGUUCAUCAUUUUAUCUUUUGGACAACUGUCAACUAUCCCGACUAUUCUGUGAACACUUAAACCUCUCGACACUUUUUUUACAAUCUGUCUACCGCCUUUUGCCAUCUGACGUUGGCGAAGAAUCCGAAGAAGAACUUCCAAGUCGACUAUGUGUUAAUAGAUACCGACGAAUACAACCCCUCGAACAAAAUUGGUUGCUCCACUUCCAGAAACACCGUGUUUGUCGUCCGAGGCGUGAUCAGUUAUAGUACUUUUCACCCUUAUCCCUCCGAUCUCUUCGUCGAGACUUCCGUGACUUAGUUUAAAGUAGAAUGCUGCAGUCACGCUUCUAUGAUUAACUUCGUCCAUAAGAGGGUGGAGAGUAUCGUCUGGAGAAAUGUCAACCGUCAUUAGUCGAAGGUUACUCCAACUUCUUCCAUAGUCGUUGUUAAGAACGUUUACAACACCGUAGUCCACGUUUAAAAGUCAGGUAAGGUGAACUGGUGUUGUCCGUCUGUGACCAUAGACUUCUUUAACAAGUGUUAGACGAAGUAGAGUAGUCGUUAUGUCCUGGACGUUGACUCACAUUCAAUGAGGUCCACGAACAACCAAAUUGAUCAAGAAGAUGUUGACAGGUUCCGUAUCAACUACGGUAGUUUUCGAGUCCCCGAUGACAGUCAAAUUAAGUCAAAUAACUUCGUGGAGUUUCUCUCCAAGCGUACCGAAGGUAGUUCGAGAACUUAUUGUAUAGUGGUACAUACCCAGUUCUUGACCGACUUCGAAAAGCACCUUUAAAAUCAGUUGAGUCGUCGAACUAAUCUCAGUAACGACUGUUGUUACCAUAAAGACUUCUCGUUCGUGGUCGACGACCAGAACAUCGACUAGAAGGAGACGUCCUAAGCCACGAUUGGUCUGCAGAACAACUUCUACCCCGAAAGUGGUGUUAUUAUAGGUUUCACUAUUACUAGUCUGUUCCCCUCUCAGCACCCCCCGCAAAGCAGUUGGGAAAAGAACUUCCAGAUCAAUCCUAUCAGAGGGCCUAGUGUAAAUAGAACCUCCUACUAGGUCUAUAGUAACGACAACGAGCACUUAUGUUAGAGUGACGUGAUAAAUCACUAGACGAAGUCUACUUACCAGAACUGUGACAGGUCUAACAGAGACGGUGGCGUGAUCCUUUAGAUAGACCGGUCAGUUUCGUAGAUUGCUUCUAAGACGGUGGAGGGUUGCCCCCUAACACAAAAAGUUAUAAAGGUACGGAGUCAGUCUUCAGACAUCUUUGACCACAGACAUCUCAAGUAGUACCUUAUACAAGCAGUUCCCUUUCGAAGACAGAGAACCUUCCCUUCCACCACCUCUUCAACCAACGAACGAACCUAGUGUUGUUACUCUUUCAACAACUUCGGAGAGAUUGUCGUGACAGGUGUAAUAAUCUGCUACCUGACCUGUAACUAGUUCCACACUACCAGGACACGCUGCGUCUCCCGCAGUUUGGUUAAGAACUACAUAACACACUCUUAGCCUGACUCCGCGACUCCGUCUCUCGCCACACCCGUCAUCUUUCCUAGGAAUCCUGCCUACUUUAUCGAAUACUCUAGAGCCCUUUGGUUUUACAGUCAUGUCGGAACCAACUUCGAAAGUCCGUACCACUGAAAUCCUGUUCCGUUUAACGUCUCGCUCGUGAUUUCGUACAACUAUUCGACGGGUUAAAGAGACCCUAUAAAAGCUUCUAGCCUCGUGUCACUGGUACAAUACGUCUUCAUCCGAUCAAGAGAAUAUGGCCAGCGGACGUCUAGGAAACCCAACGUAUUUCUAUGCAUUGAGUUUAUAACCGCGUACGGAUUAGAGUGUGGUUAGUCAACGAAAGGGUCGAAUUAGCACAAUCAUGACGGCGAGAGGUUCAUCAAGGGUUUGAUUAGCUUAACUAUCUUACCCUUGACUUCCAUAACAACCACACAUAGCAUAUCACAUAUAAAGGUGGGACAUACGAACAACAUAGACAUAAUAAGUCUACGAGUCUACGUAUCGUACUAUAAAAACACACUUAUAGGUAAAGACACGGACUCGGGUAGACUAGAGCUACUUGU
rnacentral:rRNA from 1 species